AUAUAUAUAUAUAUAUAUAAAGCUCUGAAAAAAUAAAGACCAUUUAAAAAUGAGUUUCUUUGAUUUUAACAAAUUUAAAACGUCUUACUUAUCCAAAAGCAGUGUGUAAGACUGGUGGAGAAGAACAUGCCAAGAUGCAUGAAAAGUUUGAUUACAAACCAGGGUUAUUUCACCAAAUACUGAUUUUUUUAUUUUUUAUUUUAGCCAUUUCUUAGUUUCUUCGAAUAGAUGCUCUAAAUUACACAUUUACACAUAAACUCCAGGUGAAUAUUGUAAUAUUUUAAUGAUUGUCAAUAGAUUUCAAGUUUACUUACGAGUUGUCAGAAUCCCCCCAGUGAGGGUUUUGUUUUCCACUGGCAAAUUCCCCUUGAGGGUUCUAUACAGACCUGGCAACCUAUGACUGAACGCGGGCAAUGUAUGGGCGGGAACACGAGGCUCGCGCGAGAUUUCGUCAUUGGAAAUUAAGCAAAUAUAAAUUAGCACAUUAGCUAAAAGCUCAUUGUAGACUCUACAGUUUUCCCUUUAAUGUUCGCUCCCUCAACAACAAACAACACUAACAUAACUACUCUGAGUAUUUAACUGCUCUUAAACUCACCACAAAGAGAGUUAAAGGCUUUUUACUGCUGCAGUGUGAGAAAAUCAGAGAAGGAGAAAGGCUAACUACAUGUUAGCUAAACAGCUACAAAAUCUUCAGCUUGCUCUUCAGCACAUAAACUGAGAGGACACAGCCAGAGAGAAACCGCCCUGGCAACGCCCUCUGCACCACCGGGCACUGGUCUCCAUGCUGUCCAGUAGGGGGAAUCCUGCUUCUGCUUCUCCGAGGCGGUGCCGUCUCCUUCUCUGGAAGCGCAACAGCUCCUUGUGCUGGCGGGCGAUGAAGUUGACAGCGGCGUAUUCCAGCAGAGCAGAGAAGACGAACAGGAGGCAC